rnacentral:rRNA from 1 species
AUUGAACGCUGGCGGCAGGCCUAACACAUGCAAGUCGAACGGUAACAGGAAGCAGCUUGCUGCUUUGCUGACGAGUGGCGGACGGGUGAGUAAUGUCUGGGAAACUGCCCGAUGGAGGGGGAUAACUACUGGAAACGGUAGCUAAUACCGCAUAACGUCGCAAGACCAAAGAGGGGGACCUUAGGGCCUCUUGCCAUCGGAUGUGCCCAGAUGGGAUUAGCUAGUAGGUGGGGUAACGGCUCACCUAGGCGACGAUCCCUAGCUGGUCUGAGAGGAUGACCAGCCACACUGGAACUGAGACACGAUCCAGACUCCUACGGGAGGCAGCAGUGGGGAAUAUUGCACAAUGGGCGCAAGCCUGAUGCAGCCAUGCCGCGUGUAUGAAGAAGGCCUUCGGGUUGUAAAGUACUUUCAGCGGGGAGGAAGGGAGUAAAGUUAAUACCUUUGCUCAUUGACGUUACCCGCAGAAGAAGCACCGGCUAACUCCGUG